rfam:Dipodomys ordii contig_31836, whole genome shotgun sequence.
GGUGGCUCAGUGGUAGAGCACUUGCCUUGCAUGCACGAGGCCCUGGGUUCAAUUCCUCAGCACCA